rnacentral:rRNA from 1 species
UACGUGGGGGGCGAGCGUUGUUCGGAAUUAUUGGGCGUAAAGGGCGCGUAGGCGGUUGGAUAAGUCUGGUGUGAAAUCUUCGGGCUCAACUCGAAGUCUGCACGAGAAACUAUCUGGCUUGAGUGUGGGAGAGGUGAGUGGAAUUCCUGGUGUAGCGGUGAAAUGCGUAGAUAUCAGGAGGAACACCUGUGGCGAAAGCGGCUCACUGGACCGCAACUGACGCUGAGGCGCGAAAGCUAGGGGAGCAAACAGG